rnacentral:rRNA from 1 species
AGUGAACGCUGGCGGCGUGCCUAACACAUGCAAGUCGAACGGAAGCACAGUAAGAGCUUUCCCUUACGGGUAGCGAGGGGCGGGCGGGUGACGAGUGCAUCGCCUUCCACUUUUACGUGGGUGAUAUCGUAAGAAAACUGACGCUAAUGCCGCAUACUAUCUACGGCUGAAUUCAAAGGAGAUACGCACCUUGCGCGACUGAAUGAGCCGGCGCCGGAUUAGCUAGUUGGGGUGGUAAAGGCCCACCAAGCCAACGAUCCGUAGCAGGUCUGAGAGGAUGAUCGGCCACACUGGAACUGAGACACGGUCCAGACUCCUACGGGAGGCAGCAGUGGGGAAUCUUGCACAAUGGGCGAAAGCCUGAUGCAGCAAUACCGCGUGAGUGAUGAAGGUCUUCGGGUCGUAAAGCCCUUUUAUUGGGGAAGAAAAGCAGUAGAAUAAAACCCCCACGUUCUGACGGUACCUAAAGAAUAAGCACCGGCUAACUUCGUG